AACCCAUGGUGAGGGCACCUUCUCAAAAGGUCAUUGUAUCUCUCCCAUGCAUCAUAGAGUGUUUCUAAAUCCAUCUGCAUAAACGACGAGAUGUCAUUGUGUAAUU
rfam:Gossypium hirsutum cultivar TM-1 chromosome 1, whole genome shotgun sequence